rnacentral:misc_RNA from 1 species
UUUUGAACAUCAAGUGAUUAAAAAUAACAACAGUUUAGAAAAAAAAUCUUCAUGACCUCAGUAAGCUCUGAGCAGCUUCCAAACUCAGUUCUUCAUCCACAAGUUUCCUGUAAACUUGUCGAAAUGUCUUGCAAAAUUCUUCGGCUUCUGCUGGAUUCAUCUUUUUCUCCGCAGCUUCUUUUAGUUUGCCCCAAAAUGCUUCACCAUGGCCCAUUGCUCGAGUAUUGGACUCUACUACACAUCCCUUACUCUGACCAUCUUGCAAUUGCUUCACCUCCUCUUUCUGCUUGGACUGGGAAGUUGAUUGACUUGACGCAUCCAAAUCAAGAUAAUAAUCUGGAGAGCGAACGGCUGGGAAGAGCUCAAGAAGGCGUUGAAAUUCUUGUUCAUCCAUAUUCUUGAUCCCUCUGCUGCGCUAAAACCCCCCUUUG